AGUAAGUUGGCGACGGAGAACAUCCAGUAUCGAAACGCCACGUCUAUCAUGCUGGCCGUCCUGGUCUUCUGGUGCAUCGUGGGCCUCGGUUCAUGCAUCGUCGGCUGUAGAAGACGGGCGACACUUAUCAGUAGCCGCGGACCCAAGGAAGUUUACCACAAGAAGAACGUACUUUGAUGCAAAAACAUUUCCUGGCAUCUGUUCGUCUUGAAGGCGCUUCUGAAAUUUCGGGGAACUCGUUUCGUCAUAAGACAGUAAUAAUGGCAUUUGUUUUCUUUGUUUUUGUUUUGUUUCUCUCUCUCUUCGUAAUAAAACGUUACGCUUCU